GACGGAGGGGGCAAGCGUUGUCCGGAAUUACUGGGCGUAAAGGGCGCGUAGGCGGUCAUGUACGGCGGUGGUGAAAGCUCCCGGCUCAACUGGGAGAGGCCCGCCGCAACGGCAUGACUCGAGGGUGGUAGAGGCGGAUGGAAUUCCUGGUGUAACGGUGAAAUGUGUAGAGAUCAGGAGGAACACCCGUGGCGAAGGCGGUCCGCUGGGCCAUGCCUGACGCUGAGGCGCGAAAGCCAGGGGAGCGAAC
rnacentral:rRNA from 1 species